AAAGUCAGGAUUCUGCACUAUCUGAGGAUACAUGUAUUGAGCAACAAAAUUAGCAGUGAGGUUGCGGUGUGUUUCUUCCAAUUCAGCCAGCAAGCAUUUGUGCUAAAUCACUCUAGUCACCUCCCAGUAAUUCUUCCAUUUCCCCUUGUAUGCAUGCACCCUGAAUGGGCAAUCAUUUCGCACACAGCGGACAUCAUACACCUUCGGGCUACUCUUUUCCACCCUGAACUGACGCUGCAAAGACAAAGUGGACCAUCUCUUAAUAGCCACCUUAACUUCAUCCCCACUUUGGUACAAAGCCCCCACGCAUACCUCAUUCUCUCUGUAAUCCCAAGGAAUAUUUUCCCCAAUAUUGACCUGUAGGGCGGAAUGGUCAUAAUUUGACCAAUUUCGCGGUACAGGAUAAGCAUCUUCCUCAUCGAACGAGUUCACCAUCCACGGCACCAUUGGCCUCCUCUUUUUCCAUCUCCAGCUGCUCUACUAACUUAGAAAUUUCUUCCCCCUCAUCAGCCUCCCCAUUUGGUGCAAGGGAGGCAACAUCAUUCUUUGCAUCUCCCCCUUCUUGUUCAACGUAAUCAAGUUCUUCGUUUCCACCCUCAAUACUCUGCACAUCUUCUUCCGCUUCAACUUCAUCGCCUCCUACUUCUUCUUCAAUAUGACUGCUAGAUCCACCCUUUUGAACAGUUGAACAUACCAUAUGAUUGGUAAACCUUUUCUCAAACCAUUUAUGUAAGUCCGGUAGCUCGCAGUUCCUUCAAGCGGAAGCAACUCCCAAAAAUUUAUAUCGUGUCAUCUUUUGACUACAACCCUCACAGACACAUCUACUUGAUCUCUAUCAACACCAAUGUCCCUACAAAGCCACCUGCAAAUGCCCCCCAAGUUCUCUCUCUUGCUCUUGUAACACACUUGGUGAAACAGGGAAAUCCACUCAAAUAUACCCCUUCUGGACCAUAUCUAACCUCCUCCGACCUAUAGGACACUUGAAUAUAUAAACUAUCCGACAUGCCUGUCAACAUAACGGGCAGUCCAAAUUAAUCUCACAAAUAUAUAUCAGUUAACUACAAUAACGACUUCAAUUUAAUAAACAAACAACUAUGUAGCACUAAAUCAAGCUUACUAACUAAAUUUAUCAUAGAUUCAGUAAAUGUUUCUAAGUCUCAGAUUCACUAGCUAUUUCUAAAUCUCAGAUCCACUAAUAUUUCUAAAUCUAAAUCUAAUCACUACACUAUACUAUAUAAACUAAGAGAUUAAAAAAAUUUACCUGGGAACGACGGAAGAAUUUCCUUCCCCUCUUUUUCCCUCCUCCUCUCCUUUCUUCCCUCCUCCUCCUCCUCCUCCUCCUCCUCUCCUCUCCUUCUUUUUUUCUUCCCUCUUUCCUUUCCUCUCUUUCUCUGGCACUCUCUCUCUCUCUAGCGCGUAUCUCUGGCGCGGUCUGGUGCGGGGGAGGGGAGGGGCGCGGGCGCGGCUUAUAUGGUGGGCGAGCCCCGCCGUUUGAACCGGCGGUAAGGGUCUUACUGCCGUUUCAACUGGCGGUAAGGGUCUUACCGCCAGUUCAAACGACAGAGCUUCCUCGGAUCCUACGCGGAGCUUAUCCA
rnacentral:lncRNA from 1 species